UACGUAGGUGGCAAGCGUUGUCCGGAUUUACUGGGCGUAAAGAGCGCGCAGGCGGUCGUUCAAGUCGAGUGUGAAAGCCCCCGGCUCAACUGGGGAGGGUCACUCGAUACUGAUCGACUCGAAGGCAGAAGAGGGAAGCGGAAUUCCCGGUGUAGUGGUGAAAUGCGUAGAUAUUCGCAAGAACACCAGUGGCGAAGGCGGCUCACUGGCCCGGUACUGACGCUGAGGUGCGAAAGCGUGGGGAGCAAACAGG
rnacentral:rRNA from 1 species